UUAUAUACAACCUCAACUCAUAUGGGACUACCCCCUGAAUUUAAGCAUAUUAAUUAGGGGAGGAAAAGAAACUAACAAGGAUUUUCUUAGUAGCGGCGAGCGAAAAGAAAACAGUUCAGCACUAAGUCACUUUGUCUAUAUGGCAAAUGUGAGAUGCAGUGUAUGGAGCGUCAAUAUUCUAGUAUGAGAAAUUAACGAUUUAAGUCCUUCUUAAAUGAGGCCAUUUACCCAUAGAGGGUGCCAGGCCCGUAUAACGUUAAUGAUUACUAGAUGAUGUUUCCAAAGAGUCGUGUUGCUUGAUAGUGCAGCACUAAGUGGGUGGUAAACUCCAUCUAAAACUAAAUAUAACCAUGAGACCGAUAGUAAACAAGUACCGUGAGGGAAAGUUGAAAAGAACUCUGAAUAGAGAGUUAAACAGUACGUGAAACUGCUUAGAGGUUAAGCCCGAUGAACCUGAAUAUCCGUUAUGGAAAAUUCAUCAUUAAAAUUGUAAUAUUUAAAUAAUAUUAUGAGAAUAGUGUGCAUUUUUUCCAUAUAAGGACAUUGUAAUCUAUUAGCAUAUACCAAAUUUAUCAUAAAAUAUAACUUAUAGUUUAUUCCAAUUAAAUUGCUUGCAUUUUAACACAGAAUAAAUGUUAUUAAUUUGAUAAAGUGCUGAUAGAUUUAUAUGAUUACAGUGCGUUAAUUUUUCGGAAUUAUAUAAUGGCAUAAUUAUCAUUGAUUUUUGUGUUUAUUAUAUGCACUUGUAUGAUUAACAAUGCGAAAGAUUCAGGAUACCUUCGGGACCCGUCUUGAAACACGGACCAAGGAGUCUAACAUAUGUGCAAGUUAUUGGGAUAUAAACCUAAUAGCGUAAUUAACUUGACUAAUAAUGGGAUUAGUUUUUUAGCUAUUUAUAGCUAAUUAACACAAUCCCGGGGCGUUCUAUAUAGUUAUGUAUAAUGUAUAUUUAUAUUAUUUAUGCCUCUAACUGGAACGUACCUUGAGCAUAUAUGCUGUGACCCGAAAGAUGGUGAACUAUACUUGAUCAGGUUGAAGUCAGGGGAAACCCUGAUGGAAGACCGAAACAGUUCUGACGUGCAAAUCGAUUGUCAGAAUUGAGUAUAGGGGCGAAAGACCAAUCGAACCAUCUAGUAGCUGGUUCCUUCCGAAGUUUCCCUCAGGAUAGCUGGUGCAUUUUAAUAUUAUAUAAAAUAAUCUUAUCUGGUAAAGCGAAUGAUUAGAGGCCUUAGGGUCGAAACGAUCUUAACCUAUUCUCAAACUUUAAAUGGGUAAGAACCUUAACUUUCUUGAUAUGAAGAUCAAGGUUAUGAUAUAAAUGUCCCAGUGGGCCACUUUUGGUAAGCAGAACUGGCGCUGUGGGAUGAACCAAACGUAAUGUUACGUGCCCAAAUUAACAACUCAUGCAGAUACCAUGAAAGGCGUUGGUUGCUUAAAACAGCAGGACGGUGAUCAUGGAAGUCGAAAUCCGCUAAGGAGUGUGUAACAACUCACCUGCCGAAGCAACUAGCCCUUAAAAUGGAUGGCGCUUAAGUUGUAUACCUAUACAUUACCGCUAAAGUAGAUGAUUUAUAUUACUUGUGAUAUAAAUUUUGAAACUUUAGUGAGUAGGAAGGUACAAUGGUAUGCGUAGAAGUGUUUGGCGUAAGCCUGCAUGGAGCUGCCAUUGGUACAGAUCUUGGUGGAUAGUAGCAAAUAAUCGAAUGAGAGCCUUGGAGGACUGAAGUGGAGAAGGGUUUCGUGUGAACAGUGGUUGAUCACGAGUUAGUCGGUCCUAAGUUCAAGGCGAAAGCGAAAAUUUUCAAGUAAAACAAAAAUGCCUAACUAUAUAAACAAAGCGAAUUAUAAUACACUUGAAUAAUUUUGAACGAAAGGGAAUACGGUUCCAAUUCCGUAACCUGUUGAGUAUCCGUUUGUUAUUAAAUAUGGGCCUCGUGCUCAUCCUGGCAACAGGAACGACCAUAAAGAAGCCGUCGAGAGAUAUCGGAAGAGUUUUCUUUUCUGUUUUAUAGCCGUACUACCAUGGAAGUCUUUCGCAGAGAGAUAUGGUAGAUGGGCUAGAAGAGCAUGACAUAUACUGUUGUGUCGAUAUUUUCUCCUCGGACCUUGAAAAUUUAUGGUGGGGACACGCAAACUUCUCAACAGGCCGUACCAAUAUCCGCAGCUGGUCUCCAAGGUGAAGAGUCUCUAGUCGAUAGAAUAAUGUAGGUAAGGGAAGUCGGCAAAUUAGAUCCGUAACUUCGGGAUAAGGAUUGGCUCUGAAGAUUGAGAUAGUCGGCCUUGAUUGGGAAACAAUAACAUGGUUUAUGUGCUCGUUCUGGGUAAAUAGAGUUUCUAGCAUUUAUGUUAGUUACUUGUUCCCCGGAUAGUUUAGUUACGUAGCCAAUUGUGGAACUUUCUUGCUAAAAUUUUUAAGAAUACUAUUUGGGUUAAACCAAUUAGUUCUUAUUAAUUAUAACGAUUAUCAAUUAACAAUCAAUUCAGAACUGGCACGGACUUG
rnacentral:rRNA from 1 species